rnacentral:rRNA from 1 species
UCAUUAACGAGUAAGGGGCUUUGCGCCCCGGGGGCCUCGGCCCCGACUCCUCACCCUGUGCGUACCUACCUCUGUUGCUUUGGCGGGCCUCGGUUAACCCCGACGUCGGCCCGGGGGCGACCCCGGGCCCGCGAGUGCCCGCCGGAGGCCAGUCUUACUCUUGUUUAUCAGUGAAGUCUGAGGAAAUUCAAUAACUAAAACUUUCAACAACGGAUCUCUUGGUUCUGGCAUCGAUGAAGAACGCAGCGAAAUGCGAUAAGUAAUGUGAAUUGCAGAAUUCAGUGAAUCAUCGAAUCUUUGAACGCACAUUGCGCCCCUUGGUAUUCCGAGGGGCAUGCCUGUUCGAGCGUCAUUGCAACCCCCUCAAGCACUGCUUGGUAUUGGGCUUCGUCCCCCGGGCGUGCCCGAAAGUCAGUGGCGGUCCAGGGGAGACUUCGAGCGUAGUAAAUUUUCAUUCGCUCUGGAAGGCUCCCGCUGCAACCGGCCAGCCAACCCCCCUAAUUUCAAUGGUUGACCUCGGAUCAGGUAGGGAUACCCGCUGAACUUAAGCAUAUCAU